AUUCCAGGCCAUGGGCUGACUGUGACGUGGCCUUGACCAGGGCAAUUUGUAGAAAAGGGCAAAAGGGAAGAAAAACCAAAUCAAGUGUCCAGAGCACCACUGAGUUUUAACUGUGGGUGGUGUGGUGUGUUAUUGAAAUCCUGAGAAGCCACUUCCAUUUCCAUUGGUAUUUCCGGAAAAACAACUAUCAUUGAGCAAUGGAGGCUGGCCUCAAUCUGAAAGGCUGUUUAUGCUGUGAAAAGCCAACGUGUCAAUAGCAGUGUCCCAAGAGAGCGGCAAUCAAUAAUCCUCCAACCGAUGGCCAGUCUUCAUCAGAGAGUGAGGCCGGGGCUGACUGGUGCUGGAGAGAUGCUUCUGUGGUUAGCUUUGUAGGGAGUGUGGGGUGGUUCCCAUCUCAACUCCUGGUAUGUGGUUGUCAUCUAAGGAAGCAUCACUUGUUCGUGAACAAUGUGUUUAGAGAGUCUAUGGCCGGAACUCCUGAUCCAACCUCUACUGGUGAGAGGAGCUCAAAGAAGGGUUCUAGGAGGAGGGCCCUCACCUUGUCUGCCUUCCAUCCCACCACCUGUGAUACAUUGCUGAAUUAAUGAAUGGACGACUAAUUGCUUGGAUGAGUGAGUGAAUAAAAGCACAGUGCCAGCCUCAGAGAAGGCUCAGUGAAACAGCUUUUUAUCUCAUCGGACUAACAGGGGGAAGAGCCCAUCGUGAACUGUAGCAGACACUUCUCCCCUGGUCUUGGACUUUUUCUUCCUAUAGGGUAUAGACACACAUCUCUUGCUGUGAAACUGUCUAAUGGGGGCCAGAGACGGACAUUCAUGAUAGAAGAAACUGCCCUAUGCUGUGUACUAUGGGAGCAGGGAAAGGUGAGGAGGGUGUGGAAGGAAGGACCAGCUGCAGAGGUGAAGAGAAGGGGGCAGGUAAGAAGUCCUAUAUAUGGGAGUGAAGAUGGUGUGGAUGGGAUGGACCCAGCAGAGACGAGCCCCUGGACUCUGCCCCUGCCGCUCACCUGCACUCUGUGUCAUGGGCUCCGCGGGGCUCCAUUGGCCCUGGAAGUGGGGGCAGCGAGGGUGUCUGAAGACCAAAAGAGCCCCUUGUGUGAUAGGACCAGGGUUCCAGCUCCAACCCCACAGGACCAGGCAAGCAUCCAUGAUGCCUUCAAACACCAUGAAAUAUCAAAUUAGUUAUUUAUUUAAUUUUAUUUUUUUUAUUUCAAAACAUUAAGAGGGUACAAUGGUUUUGAUUACAUAGAUUGCUUUGGUAGUGUUUGGGUGGGAGUUAUAAGUGUGCCCAUCACCCAGAUAGCGUUCACUGUACCUCUUAGGUAGGUUUUCACCCACCCCGCCCUCCACCCUCCCUGCUGCUUGAGUUCCACUGAGUUCUACUUCCCUCUGUGCUCAUCAGUUAGUUCCAAUUUGAUAGCUAGUACGUGUGGUAUUUGUUUUCCACUCUUGCAAUGCUUAGGAAAAUGGUCUCCAGUUCCAUUCAAACUGUUGCAAAAGACAUUAAUUCAUCCUUUUAAUGGCUGAGUAGUACUUCCUGGUAUAGAUAUACCACAUUCUGUUAAUCUACUUAUGGAUGGAUGAACACUUCAUUUGAUUCCACAUCUUUGCAAUUAUGAAUUGUGCUACAAUAUACAUUGAAGGGCUGGUGACUUUUUGAUAAAAUGACUUCUUUUCCUUUGGUAGAUGCCCAGUAGUAAGAUUGCUGGAUCAAAUGGUAGGUCUACUUUUGUUCUUUCAGGAAUCUCCAUACUGUGUUCCAUAGAGGUUGUACCAAUUUACAGUCUCACCAACAGUGUAUGAGCAUUCCUUUCCGUCUACAUCCCUGUCAGCAUCUAUUGUUUUUAAUAAGCCCAAGACUCAGUCAGGAAGAAACAGAGCUCUUGUACAUACCAAUAAUGAGCAGUGACAUUGAAGUGGUGACAAAAUCUUCCAACAAAAAAGCCCCAGGCCAUGUGGGUUCACAGCUGAAUUUUACCAGACCUGAUAAGAAGCGCUGAUAUCUAUGCUGCAGAAGUUAUUCUACUACACAUUGAGAAGGAGGGAAUCCGUCCUACUAUAAAUCAUUCUACAAAGUAAGUGUCACCUUGAUACCAAAGCCAGGAAAAGACACAACGAAAGGAAAAGAAAAGAAAACUGUAGAUCAAUACACCUUAUGAAUAUAAAUGCAAAAAUCCUCAAUAAAUUACUAGCAAACUGAAUUCAACAUCACAUGAGAAAAAUAAUGCCCCAGAACCAAAGUGGGCUUCAUCCCAGGGAUGCAAGGAUGGUUCAACAUGCAUAAAUCAAUCAAUGUGAUUCACACAUAAAUAGAAGUGAAAACAAGACAUAUGGAUCAUCUCAAUAAAUGUGGGAAAGCAUUGGACAAAAUUCAGCACCAUUUCAUGAUUAAAAAAAACCCUGAACAAACUAGACAUGGAAGAAACGUAUCUCAAAAUUAUAGAAGCUGUAUGCCAUAGUACCACACCCAACAUUAGACUGAAUGGGGAAAAGUUGAAAGCAUUCCAACUAAGAACCAGAAAAGAAAAAUGUGCCCACAGUCACCACUUCUAUUCAAAACAGUGCUGGAAAUCCCAGCCACCAAGACAAUAAUACUGAGGGCAUCCAGACUGAGAAAGAGGAGGUCAGACUAUUGCUCUUGGCUGAUGAUAUGAACUUGUAUCUAUAAAAACCUAAAGAUUCCACCAAGAGUGUCCUGGAAUUGGUGAAUAAAUUCAGAAAAGUCUCAGGUUAUAAAACCAAUGUACACAAAUCAGCUAUAGAGAAAAUAAAAUACCUAAGAAUGUCCUUAGCCAAGGAAGUGAAAGUUCUCUACAAAGACAGCUAUGGAACACGGAGGAAAGAAAUUGCAGACAACAUGAACAGAUGGAAAACCGUAUCAUGUGCAUGGAUUAGUAGACUCAACUUUGUUAAAAUGUCCAUAGUACCCCAAAUGUUUUACAGAUUCAAUGCCAUACUUCAUCAAAAUAAGAAGGUCAUAUUUCACAGAUUUGGAAAAAGAAAAAAUAAUUCCUUGCUUCAUUUGGAAUUGAAUUAAUUUUAAAACCAUUCACACCCCUACACUGCUGAAUUUGCAUGUUGUCUGACUCAGCUUGGGGAUGGUGUAGGAUGGACACAUUUCAGGGCAAGAAGAGCUUUCAAGUCAAGUAUUGUGAUUGUCUCCGUUCUCUACCCACAUAAUAGGAAAAACUAUCAUUUACUGCACAACCGCCUUCUGUUAAAUACAGUGAUAGAAUGGAAAUUCUGCCAGUUGUAUAUAUAAGUGUUUAUUUAUUUAUUUUUAGAAAUGGAGUCUCACUCACUCUGUCACCCAGGCUGGAAUGCAGUGGCAUAAUCAUAGCUGCUCACUGUAGCCUCCAACUCCUGGGGUCAAGCCAACCUCCUGCCUCAGUCUCCAGAGUAGUCAGGACUACAAGUAUGUGCCAUCAUGCUAGGCUAAUUUUUUAAAAAGACAUUUGUAGAAUUGGUGUUUCACUUUUCUGCCCAGUCUGACCUUGAACUCCUGGCUUCAGGGAUCCUCCCAGCUUGGCCUCCCAGAGUUCUGGGAUUGCAGGCAUGAGACUUGUACCUGACCUAUUGGAUUUCAUUGUACAAGAGAAGGAGAAGAUAGACUUCCAGGACACUAUACAGAAGAAAAGAAAUGAGCUAACAAGAUAGGAGAAACCUGGCUGCCAUGGAAGGGGUUGGCUGUGGGAAUCAGUGGCCCCAGACCAGGUAGGCUAAUGGAGGAUAUUUUAAUUCUCUCUAAUGUCUCUCUAAAUGGCAGUCUCAUUCUGUCACCGUGGGUAGAGUGCUGUAGCAUCAUCAUAGCUCACAACGACCUCCAACUCCUGGUGGGUUCAAGUAAUUCUCCUGCCUCAGCAUCAAGAGCAGCUGGGAUUACAGGUGCCCACCACGAUGUCUGGCUAGUUUUUUCUAUUUUUAGUAGAGAUGGGGUCUCUUGCUCAGACUGGUCUCCAGCUCAAGGAGUCCACCAGCCUUGGCCUCCCAGAGUGCUACAAUUUUAGGCCUGAACCACCGCACCCGGCUGUUAAGGAGUAUUUUAAAGAGCUUGGUUCUGGGCACACUAUGACCCCUAUACAUGAUGCUCAGAUAGGCACUGAAGUCCAGUUCAUUGUCAAGUGCCCUACAUCAGCCAUGUCUGUGCAUGAUGCCCAGGUGUGCACUGAAGUCCAGUUCAUUGUCAAGUGCCCUACAUCAGCCAGGUCUGUGCAUGAUGCCCAGGUGUGCACUGAAGUCCAGUUCAUUGUCAAGUGCCCUACAUCAGCCAGGUCUGUGCAUGAUGUCCAGGUGUGCACUGAAGUCCAGUUCAUUGUCAAGUGCCUUACAUCAGCCAUGUCUGUGCAUGAUGCCCAGGUGUGCACUGAAGUCCAGUUCAUUGUCAAGUGCCCUACAUCAGCCAGGUCUGUGCAUGAUGCCCAGGUGUACACUGAAGUCCAGUUCAUUGUCAAGUGCCCUACAUCAGCCAGGUCUGUGCAUGAUGCCCAGGUGUGCACUGAAGUCCAGUUCAUUGUCAAGUGCUCUACAUCAGCCAGGUACAGAAGUAGCAUUGAUGUGGCACAAUAAGGGGGGAAUUUGGAAACAAACAGGAGGCGUUGGAGCUGGAGACUGGAGACAGGUUCCCUUCCGAACAUGAGUUCUUUAGGGAUGUGUAAAAAUAUCAGCAGGGCCUUAGACUUCUCUGGUGUGUGGGAUAAAGGUUUACAGUGGUCCCUAGGUAUCCUUGGGGAACUGGUUCUAGGACCUCCCUUGGAUACCAAAAUCCAUGCAUGCUCGAGUCCCGGAUAAGAAAUGGCAUAAUAUUUUCAUGGAACCCAUGGACAUCCUCCUCUUGUUUUAAAUCAUCUCUAGCUUACUUACAAUACCUAAUACAAUGUAAAUGCUAUGUAAAUGGUUGUUAUACUAUAUUGUUUAGGCAAUAAUGACAAGGAAAAAUGUCUGUACGUGUUCAUUGUUGAUGCAGCCAUACACUUUGUAAAAAUAUUUUUGAGUCUUUUACAUGUGGUUAUCCAGUUCUCCCAACACCAUUUAUUGAAUAGGGAUUCUUUUCCCCAGUGUAUGUUCUUGUUUGGUUUAUCAGGUAGCUGUAAGAUGUUGGUUUCAUCUCAUCUAUUUGGUUCCAAAUGUCAACGUCUCUAUUUUUUGAGCCAAUACCAUGCUGUUUUGAUCACUAUGACCUUGUCGUAUGGCCCCUCACCACUUACAACGAUUGAUUCAAGAUAUAUGAAAUAUUUAAAUUUAAGGCAUGAAACAAUAAAAAUCCUUGAAGAAAGUGUGGGGAAAACACAUGAGGCUAUCAUCUUGGGGAACUAUUUUAUGCCACAUCCAUGGCAAUUGCAACAACAAAAAUGAACACAUAGGAUUUACUUAAACUGAAAAGCUUCUGUAUAGCUAAGAAAACAGCAAUCAAAGCAAAUAGGCAACCUUCAGAAUGGGGAAAGAUAUUUUCAUAUUAUGAAUCAGACAAAAACUUGGUAACUAGGAUCUACAGAGAACGCAAAUUAAUCAACAAAAAAGAUCCAACAAUCCCCUAUAUCACUGGGCAAGAGGCAUGAAUAGAACCUUCUCUAAAGAAGACAGAGAAAUGGCUGCCAAACAUAUGAAAAAAUGCUCAUCAUCUGUAAUCAUCAGAGAAAUGCAAAUCAAAACCACCCUGAGAUAUCACCUAACUGCAGUGAGAAUGGCCCACAUCACAAAGCUGCAGAUGCUGGCGUGGAUGUGGAGAGAAGGAAACCCUUUUACACUGCUGGUGGGACUGCAAACUAAUAUAGCCCUUUUGGAAGAAGUAUGGAGAAUCCUCAAAGAACUCAAAGUAGACCUCCCAUUUGAUCCUGUAAUCCCAUUACUAGGCAUCUGCCCAGAAGAAAAAAAAUGCUUUUAUCAUAAGAACUAGAUGGUUUAUCUCAGCUCAAUUUCCAACUGCCAAUUGUGGAGACAACCUAAAUACCCACCAACCCAGGAAUGGAUUAACCAGCUGUGAUGUAUACCAUGGAAUACUAUUCAUCCAUUAAAAGACAUGGAGACUUCACAUCUUUUGUAUUAACCUGGACUGGGGUGGAACUCAUUGUUCUUAGCAAAGCAUCACGAGAAUGGAGAAGCAAGAAUCCAAUGCACUCAAUUCUAAUAUGAAGGCAACAGAUGAGCUAAUACAAGGGCUUGGGGAGGGGAAAGAGGGAGCAGGGAGAGGGGAGGACAGAGAGGGAUGUGGGUCACAGUGUAGGUCACACCUCUUGAGGGAGAGACACAAUUAUAAGAGGGACUUUACCUAACAAAUGCAAGCAGUGUCACCAAAUUCUUUGCAUCCUCGAUGAAUCCCAAACAAUAAGAAAAAAUAAAAAUAUUUUUGAUCUGAGGUUGAUUGAAUCCAUGGAUGCAGAACCCCUAGAUGUGCGUAGCUGACUGUAAUGUGAUUCAAGGAGGUGGGACAGUGACACGUGCUGACGUCAGACCUGGUGAUCUCUCUAUACAGCGGGUAGGUGGCAGCAGCAGCAGCAGUGUGUGGCAGACAUUCUAGGACGAGACACUCAGUUAAAAGUCAGACAUGUUCCUUGAUAUUGAAGCCCAUAUUCCCUCUUCAUUCAACUUGGUGUUAUUAGUGCAGGUGAAACAGAGGUGCCGAGAAACUCAAAUGUACACAAAACCAAUGGAAAGUCAGCCUUGAUUAUUCAGGCUGGUGGUUUAAGACUGGCCUUGCACUCGUGAAGCAGCGGGACUAGUCGCCUCUUUCAAAGCUCCAGUCCGAGAGCACCUGGUUUUGUGCAUGAGUGAGUGGUGGACGUCGGUCUGGACAGGGCAUGGUGUGGUGGCUCUCCCCAGGGGGGUUUGCAUAAGUUAAAGGAGAGCACGGGCCCUGACAACACAUAAAUGAAUUUGUUUCAUACAUACAAAUGUAGAGGGUGCUAGAAAAUGGUACAUUUAUGCAAAUGGUACAUUUUAAGAAAGGAGAAAACUGUAUUAAAAUUAUAAUACUUUGCAAUUACAAGAGAUACAAGAUACAGUAUACAAAAUAACAAUGUUUUUUUUUUUAUUGUUGGGGAUUCAUUGAGGGUACAGUAAGCCAGGUUACACUGGUUGCAUUUGUUAGUUAAAGUCCCUCUUGCAAUCUGGGGGCAAGACAAAAUAACAAUGUUAUCCAUAUAUAUUGUAAUUGUAGACGUUUUUUCCUUUCUUAAAAUGUGUAUAUAUAUUUUGGGGCACCCUCUGUAUAUUAUAUCAUGAAUAUCACAAAACAUACACCAAUUUUUGUUUUAUUUUAUGUUAUUGAUUUAUUGUUUCAGGGAUGGGGGUCUCACUGGGUUGCCCAGACUGGAGUACAGUGGUGCAAUCACAGCUCAGAGCAGCCUCAAGCUCCUGGCUCCAGUGAUCCUCCCACCUCCAUCUCCCAAGUCCCUGAGAUUGCAGCACCCUCAAAUCACAACUGAUAUUUGAAAUGACAUAAUGAUGCCGUAGAUAAACAGCACCCACACACUUCCUACACUUAGCCCAGCCCAGCGCCACUUGUGUCUGGGAGGACCCCACGUGACUCAGGUCCCAGGCUCUUCCCCUUCCACCUGCAGGUCCCUUGACCUCCCUGGACAGCCCCAGCCCUCACCUCUGCUUCACCCCUGCCUUGGGUGGGGCUCUGUGUGGUGGGCGGUGCAGGUCAGAGCAGCCUUGCUUGCCUCAAGUGCGGACUCAGCAAGCAGCUCUGUGUGUUUUACAUGGGGUUACACAUGCCAAAAACAGCAAGAGUGCUAAGGUGUUGGCUGAUGAUUAAGGAAAUUAAACUUUUUUUUUUUUUUUAGGGAGAAGAAGUAACAUUUAUAACUGCUACUUUUGUUCCCUUUAAAACAGCAAUGGGGGGUGGACUCAGGAGGGCUGAGAGCAACAUGCCUCCCUCCCACUCACCCAAAGGCAGUGAUGUGAGAGCCGCCUCUGGGUUUAGCCAUCAUCGCCAUCGGUAACGGCCAAGUUCUUCCUGCUACUGCCACGACCAAGAGAGACAGGAAAAGGAAAAGGGGGAAAACCCUGGGUGGGAAGCAACACGCACCUGUGUGCCUGGUCCCUGAAACGCGGGAAGCAAUGCGCCUGUGUGCCUGCUACUUUGCAACGUGGCUCACAGUUACUGCAGAGGUCCCAAGAAUGGGACGAAAGAUGGGAAGGGUCACCAGAGUACAAAGUGCUCUGAAUAUGCUCCAGUGUCAUUGUCAGAACCACACCAAACCAACCAGCUCUCAGCUGGUUCAUAGCAGAGAAAUCGAGGUUCAGAGCAGCUUCACGCAUCAGAGGACCAGCCUGGAUGUGCCAUGGCAGAGCCCAGGAGCUGCAGUGCACUCAGGAUGCUGAGAACACCUCUUCCUUUUCUUUUUCUCUUUCUUUCAUUCUUUUUUUUUUUUUUUUUUACAAAAUAAAACCUCACAGCUUAUUUGGCUUUGAGUUCUUCAAAAAUUGAAAAUAUCAAGUCCUAUUGCUAAAGAGAAAAAAAUAGAUAAACAUAAAAUCCAAGGCCCCUCCCCACUUCACUUAAAGUCACAGAACGCGAAAGAAACUCCAGUGGGACGGGGGGUGCAGACAGCCAGAAGUAGAGGAGGCAAGGUAAACUGCAAAUAUUAGAAAGCUGCUCAGCAGAAGCCGUGAUUAACGUGAGACCACGCAGGGCAAGUGACAGUUAGGACAGCGGUGAUGAGAGGCUGUGUGAAGACUCCCAGCCCGAGGCACAACUCACCCCUUCCGGAUCUAAAUGUUGGCCCCUUGGAGCUUCCUCAAGAUUUCACUAGAAGCAGUUUAUGAGGCACAAGCACUCUGCCUUAGAUAUACCAGGAGAAAACGAAGAUGCAGUAAUUUCAUCUUAUAUCAUGUACCAUGUGUGAAUUUGUAGUGCAUUUGUAGGAGAAAUAACCCAGCCAGGGUGUGCCAUGGCUUCUUCUGUCUUCCAUGGCAGCAGAAAUUCCUUACAAUCUUCAGGAGUCAAAAAACAAGAAAACUCAGACGCAGGUGGCAGCCCAAACUGCCUCGCUAGCUCACGUUGUCCAGUAUUUCACAACCAGUAGUGAAUUCCAAGAACCUUUUCUUGAGUAUCACCAAGAUAAAACUUAAACAAGGGUACAUGUCAGAUCUAUUAGUAUAGAGCAGUGGUUCUCAACCUUCCUAAUGCCGUGACCCUUUAAUACAGUUCCUCAUGUUGUGGUGACUCCUAACCAUAAAAUUAUUUUCGUUGCUAUUUCAUAACUGUAAUUUUGCUACUGUUAUGAAUCGUAAUGUAAAUAUCUGAUAUGCAGGAUGUAUUUUCAUUGGUCACGAUCCACAGGUUGAGAACUGCUGGUAUAGAGUAUAAAUGUCAUAACCCAAUAAUUAAGUAAACAAGAUGAGGUAGAGAUUAACCAGUGUGAUGUAAGCAUUCCUAAUUCUACUUGAAAUCAGCACAUUG